rnacentral:rRNA from 1 species
AUGAACGCUAGCUACAGGCUUAACACAUGCAAGUCGAGGGGCAUCAGGAAGAAAGCUUGCUUUCUUUGCUGGCGACCGGCGCACGGGUGAGUAACACGUAUCCAACCUGCCCUUUACUCGGGGAUUGCCUUUCGAAAGAAAGAUUAAUACCCGAUGGCAUAAUGAUUCCGCAUGGUUUCAUUAUUAAAGGAUUCCGGUAAAGGAUGGGGAUGCGUUCCAUUAGGUUGUUGGUGAGGUAACGGCUCACCAAGCCUUCGAUGGAUAGGGGUUCUGAGAGGAAGGUCCCCCACAUUGGAACUGAGACACGGUCCAAACUCCUACGGGAGGCAGCAGUGAGGAAUAUUGGUCAAUGGGCGCUAGCCUGAACCAGCCAAGUAGCGUGAAGGAUGAAGGCUCUAUGGGUCGUAAACUUCUUUUAUAUAAGAAUAAAGUGCAGUAUGUAUACUGUUUUGUAUGUAUUAUAUGAAUAAGGAUCGGCUAACUCCGUGCCAGCAGCCGCGGUAAUACGGAGGAUCCGAGCGUUAUCCGGAUUUAUUGGGUUUAAAGGGAGCGUAGGUGGACUGGUAAGUCAGUUGUGAAAGUUUGCGGCUCAACCGUAAAAUUGCAGUUGAUACUGUCAGUCUUGAGUACAGUAGAGGUGGGCGGAAUUCGUGGUGUAGCGGUGAAAUGCUUAGAUAUCACGAAGAACUCCGAUUGCGAAGGCAGCUCACUGGACUGCAACUGACACUGAUGCUCGAAAGUGUGGGUAUCAAACAGGAUUAGAUACCCUGGUAGUCCACACAGUAAACGAUGAAUACUCGCUGUUUGCGAUAUACAGUAAGCGGCCAAGCGAAAGCAUUAAGUAUUCCACCUGGGGAGUACGCCGGCAACGGUGAAACUCAAAGGAAUUGACGGGGGCCCGCACAAGCGGAGGAACAUGUGGUUUAAUUCGAUGAUACGCGAGGAACCUUACCCGGGCUUAAAUUGCAGUGGAAUGAUGUGGAAACAUGUCAGUGAGCAAUCACCGCUGUGAAGGUGCUGCAUGGUUGUCGUCAGCUCGUGCCGUGAGGUGUCGGCUUAAGUGCCAUAACGAGCGCAACCCUUAUCUUUAGUUACUAACAGGUCAUGCUGAGGACUCUAGAGAGACUGCCGUCGUAAGAUGUGAGGAAGGUGGGGAUGACGUCAAAUCAGCACGGCCCUUACGUCCGGGGCUACACACGUGUUACAAUGGGGGGUACAGAAGGCAGCUAGCGGGUGACCGUAUGCUAAUCCCAAAAUCCUCUCUCAGUUCGGAUCGAAGUCUGCAACCCGACUUCGUGAAGCUGGAUUCGCUAGUAAUCGCGCAUCAGCCACGGCGCGGUGAAUACGUUCCCGGGCCUUGUACACACCGCCCGUCAAGCCAUGGGAGCCGGGGGUACCUGAAGUACGUAACCGCAAGGAUCGUCCUAGGGUAAAACUGGUGACUGGGGCU